CCUACGGGCGGCAGCAGUGAGGAAUAUUGGUCAAUGGGCGGGAGCCUGAACCAGCCAAGUAGCGUGAAGGAUGACGGCCCUACGGGUUGUAAACUUCUUUUAUAAAGGAAUAAAGUGAGGCACGUGUGCCUUUUUGCAUGUACUUUAUGAAUAAGGACCGGCUAACUCCGUGCCAGCAGCCGCGGUAAUACGGAGGAUCCGAGCGUUAUCCGGAUUUAUUGGGUUUAAAGGGAGCGUAGGUGGGUUGUUAAGUCAGUUGUGAAAGUUCGGGGCUCAACCGUAGAGUUGCAAUGGAUACUGGCAGGCUUGAGUACGGGAGAGGUAGGCGGAAUUCGUGGUGUAGCGGUGAAAUGCUUAGAUAUGACGAAGAACUCCGAUUGCGAAGGCAGCUUACU
rnacentral:rRNA from 1 species